rnacentral:rRNA from 1 species
CCUACGGGGGGCACCAUUGGGGAAUAUUGGACAAUGGGCGAAAGCCUGAUCCAGCAAUGCCGCGUGUGAAGAAGGUCUUCGGAUUGUAAAGCACUUUCGACGGGGACGAUGAUAACGGUACCCGUAGAAGAAGCCCCGGCUAACCUCGCGCCAGCAGCCGCGGUAAUACGAAGGGGGCUAGCGUUGCUCGGAAUGACUGGGCGUAAAGGGCGCGUAGGCGGUUUAUGCAGUCAGAUGUGAAAUCCCCGGGCUUAACCUGGGAACUGCAUUUGAGACGCAUAGACUAGAGGUCGAGAGAGGGUUGUGGAAUUCCCAGUGUAGAGGUGAAAUUCGUAGAUAUUGGGAAGAACACCGGUGGCGAAGGCGGCAACCUGGCUCGAUACUGACGCUGAGGCGCGAAAGCGUGGGGAGCAAACAGGAUUAGAUACCCCAGUAGUC